rnacentral:lncRNA from 1 species
GCCUCUGAAUCCGGAGCUGUAGGAAGCAAAAAGUCGAACUGCAAGAACACGGUGAGAGAAAUGGGCAGAUGCCUUAAGGCUAGGGUAGCUGGGGGAAGGGCGCACGCGAGAACUGAACAGAUACCGCACCAGCAACCAGAAAUCAAGUCCAGCUCAGCAAAGGAUGUUCUUUAAUAUGAGAAGCUGAUUGGUGGUUUCCUCUGCUUCUGCUGACAUCCAAUUAAAAGAAUGAAACCGGAGAAAGAUAGCUUCUUGGAAGCCCUACUUAUAAUCUAAUUAGUGAACCAGAGAGAGAACUUAGCAUCUCUGACCUUCAUGCUAACCUUCAGGGCCUUUCUGCUUCAGAGUAGAACAAGCAAACUCAGUUAAAAUGCCAGAGAUUUUCAAGGAAUGGAACAAAGAAAGCAGAGUGACAGGAAUGAAAGACACUGAAAAAGUCCUCACUGGCAGGAAUUUAUUCUUGUUACUUCUGUAUACCAUCAACGAUGUUUGCAUCUUCAUCAAGGCUAGACAUCUCUGCCUGUGAACUUGGGAUGGAUGGAAGAUGUCUGUGGAAGGAUGCAGAUGAUGAGGCCAUUAAGAACUCAAUUGUGAUGGACAGUCUUUUUCAAAUUAUUGUUAUUAUUAUUAUUAUGUGUAUUUUAUUAUUCCAUAGUAUCUGACCACCCUCUCUUUUACAAAUCAUACUUAAUGUUGUCACUUAUGGUACAGUAUACACAUAGCACCAUAAAAACUAGCCAUGGAGUUAGCCCUCACUACUGCAUGAAUGUCUGAAAGACAGGUACCAUCGGCUAUCUUUCUAGCUUGCAUCAAUUAUCCUGUCUACUGCUGCAUGUCCAUUUUUACCUAUCAUUAAGGUUCACAAAAACUUAAGUUACUUAAAAAUUAAACUUUUAAAUGUUUGUUGACAAAACAAUAAACAUGAAAAAAUUUUCCUAUU